GGAUCCAGACUUUGAUUAUGGCUCAGGAUGAACGCUAGCUACAGGCUUAACACAUGCAAGUCGAGGGGAAACGACAUCGAAAGCUUGCUUUUGAUGGGCGUCGACCGGCGCACGGGUGAGUAACGCGUAUCCAACCUGCCCACCACUUGGGGAUAACCUUGCGAAAGUAAGACUAAUACCCAAUGAUAUCUCUAGAAGACAUCUGAAAGAGAUUAAAGAUUUAUCGGUGAUGGAUGGGGAUGCGUCUGAUUAGCUUGUUGGCGGGGUAACGGCCCACCAAGGCAACGAUCAGUAGGGGUUCUGAGAGGAAGGUCCCCCACAUUGGAACUGAGACACGGUCCAAACUCCUACGGGAGGCAGCAGUGAGGAAUAUUGGUCAAUGGACGAGAGUCUGAACCAGCCAAGUAGCGUGCAGGAUGACGGCCCUAUGGGUUGUAAACUGCUUUUAUAAGGGAAUAAAGUGAGUCUCGUGAGACUUUUUGCAUGUACCUUAUGAAUAAGGACCGGCUAAUUCCGUGCCAGCAGCCGCGGUAAUACGGAAGGUCCGGGCGUUAUCCGGAUUUAUUGGGUUUAAAGGGAGCGUAGGCCGGAGAUUAAGCGUGUUGUGAAAUGUAGACGCUCAACGUCUGCACUGCAGCGCGAACUGGUUUCCUUGAGUACGCACAAAGUGGGCGGAAUUCGUGGUGUAGCGGUGAAAUGCUUAGAUAUCACGAAGAACUCCGAUUGCGAAGGCAGCUCACUGGAGCGCAACUGACGCUGAAGCUCGAAAGUGCGGGUAUCGAACAGGAUUAGAUACCCUGGUAGUCCGCACGGUAAACGAUGGAUGCCCGCUGUUGGUCUGAAUAGGUCAGCGGCCAAGCGAAAGCAUUAAGCAUCCCACCUGGGGAGUACGCCGGCAACGGUGCAACUCAAAUGAAUUGACGG
rnacentral:rRNA from 1 species